ensembl:snoRNA SNORA73 Small nucleolar RNA SNORA73 family
CCUACAUCACCCGGGCGCUGUCCAGAUUGUGUAGGGGAGCACAGGGCUAAGCCCCGUGAUGUACAAUCCUUUUCCACGGUGUUGGAGAUGAAGCCGGGUCUUGAGUCUGUACCAGCAUAUUCCCGUGGCUUCACAGAGCCCUGUGGUCGAUGCCGGAGGGGAAAAACCAUGCAGGCAACAUCC